GACAGAGGAUGCAAGCGUUAUCCGGAAUGAUUGGGCGUAAAGCGUCUAUAGGUGGCUUUUCAAGCCCGCCGUCAAAUCCCAGGGCUCAACCCUGGACAGGCGGUGGAAACUACCAAGCUUGAGUACGGUAGGCGCAGAGGGAAUUUCUGGUGGAGCGGUGAAAUGCAUUGAGAUCGGAAAGAACACCAACGGCGAAAGCACUCUGCUGGGCCGACACUGACACUGAGAGACGAAAGCUAGGGGAGCAAAUGGG
rnacentral:rRNA from 1 species